rnacentral:rRNA from 5 species
GUGAAGUCGUAACAAGGUAACCGUAGGGGAACCUGCGGUUGGAUCACCUCCUUACCUUAAAGAAGC